GCGGAGCUUGCAGUGAGCUGAGAUCGUGCCACUGCACUCCAGCCUGGGUGACAGAGCGAGACUCCGUCUAAAAAACAAUAAAGAAAAAAAACCCUGUAUAUAUUGUUCCUGUUGUAAACAUACCAUUUACCCUAGAAAGAAUAGUCCUCCUGUGAUUGUGUAGUAUUUCUUAAAUCUGAAUUUGGUCAAAGUAUUUGGUAAUGUUGGUCCAUAUAUAUUUUUAUUUGUUUUUCCAGUUCCAUUUAUUGCCCAGAAAAGGUAUAUGUAAAAUGACUAAACAUAUUUAUGGACAUAUCUCCUCCUUCCUUUGAUUCUGUCCAUUUUAUAUUUUUUCUUGUAGUUUCAAGCUCUGUUAUUAGGCACAUGUACAAUCAUGUUUGUUAAGUCUUCAUGAUGAACUGAACUUUAAUUUUUAUGAGGUGCUCCUCUUAUCUCAGGUAGUAUUUUAACAUAAUUUUUCUGUGAUUAAUGUGGUCACUGCAGCUAUCAUGUGUCUACUAUUUGCAUGGUAUAACAACUCGGAAUGUGUACUUUUGUCCUAUGUGUAUUUUUAUUAUUAUAAUGCAUUUUUAGGUGACCAUUACUUGGGUCUCACUUUUUUAUUUAUUGUGACAACAUUUGCAUUUUAGUUGGUAUACUCUGUUAAAUAAUAUUUAAUGUAAUUUUCGAACUGUUGGAUUGAAGUCUCCAAGUUUUCUAUGCAUUUUUCUGUUAGCCUUUUCUGGUUUCAGUUCCAUUGUUCUCCCCUUCUGUCUUAAGUUAGGUUAUUUUAAAUAUUGCUUUUAAUUUAUCUGUUGGAUAUUUAGAUAUACUUUUUUACCAUGUAAUUAAAAAAUAUUUGUUCUAGUGAUUUCCGUAUACAUGCUUACUUUUCACAGUCUAACUAGAGUUGGCUUUAUACUACAUCAUGCAAAAAUAAUAAAUGUUGAACAACAGAGAGAUUAUCUACCACUGGGUAUGGUCACAGCAUGCCUGUAACCCCAGAUACUCAGGAGGCCGAGCAGGAGAAUGGCUUGAGCCCAGGAGUUGGAAACCAGCCUGGACAAUAUAGCAAGACCCCAUAUGAAAAAGAUAUUUUUUAAAAAAGAUGCUCUCAAUAAAAUUUGGAAUCUUUCUGGAAAUUACUCUAUGGCACUUUCAGGUAUUUUUCAUUCUCUGUGUUAGAUAUUUUUGAAUCACAGUCAUUUUCUCUGUUCUAUUUACUCUGAAACAUUUUUCACACUUAACACUUGUAUCUUUCAUUUAGGUCCUUAGAAUGACUGUCAAUACCUAGAUUUAUGUUUUAUAAUUAUCCAGAACUUCACCAAAGAUUGCUAUGUCUCUUUCAGCAGCCUAACCAGAAUAUGUAAUACUAAUUAUUACAUAUAAUAAUCACAUAUAAUUAAAUACAUAAUUGUAGUUUUCUUUUGCUUUAGUUUACUUUUCUACCAAUCCAGUUUGAGUCUGGUCUUUUUCCUGAUUUUCUAAACAAACCUCAUUUUUAGAUAAAUAUUAUUUUGGGAAGAAGUCCUUUGAAUAUAUUUCUUAGACUGAAUUCAAAAUACUUUACUGAUUUUUUAAUUUGAACCUCCAAAAUGGAAUAGUACCUAUUUAAUAAAAAAGAAACAUUAAUACCUACAUCCAGUGCUUUAAAUUAUCUCCUGAACACUGCUUUCAAUGUAUCCCACAACAUUUGAUAAGUUGUAUUUUUAUUUUCAUUUAGUUUUGAGUAUUUUAAAAAUUUCUUUAGAGACUUCUUAUAAUCUGUGUUUUUUUUUUUUUAGUAGUAUGUGGUUUAAUCUCCAAAUAUUUGGGGAUUUUCUAGCUAUUAUUUUGUUAUUGAUUUCUAAUUUAAUUCCAUUGUGGUCGGAGGACAUAGUUUGUAUGAUUUCUAUUCUUUCACUUCUUUUAAGUACGUUUUAUGGCCCAGAAUGUGGUCUUUCUUGGUAAAUGUUACAUAUAAUCAUUAGAAACAUGUGCAUUCUACUGCUGUUAUUUGUGAAGUUGUUUAUAAAUACCAAGUAAAUCAAGUUGAUUAAAGGGGCAACUCAGGUCAACUAUAUUUUACUGACUUUCUGCCUGCUUGAUGUAUCAAUUUCUGAAACGGGGUUAUUUCAUCCUCAAGCAUAAUCAUGGAUUUGUCUAUUUCUCCUUGCUGUUUCAUCAGUUUUUGCCUCAGAUAUUUUCACCUCUGUUGGUAGGUGUAUACAUGUUAAGAACGAUGAUGUCUCUUUGAAGAACUAACCCUGUUUUGAUUAUGAAACAUCCUUGCUGAUAAUUUUCUGUUUUCUAAAAUCUGCUCUGCUUUGUCUAAUAUUAAUAGUUUGUCUAGCUUUUUGUUUUAUUAAUAUUAGCAUGGAAUAUCUUCUUUUAUUCCUUUACUUUUAACCUAUUUAUAAUUUGUCUAUUUAAGGGUUUUUUUUUAGACAACAUAGAGUUGGAUAAUUUUUUUAAAUCUAGUCUUCUAGUCUCUAUUUUUAAAUUAAUACAGUUAGGCCAUUGAUAUUUAAAUUGAUUAUUGCUAUUAUUACAUUAAUAUUUACCAUCUUUGAAAUUUUUCUAAUUCAUUACACUUGCUCUUUUCUUCUUCUCUCUCUUUGUGGUUUGAGUUGUGCAUUAUUAUGUGAUUGCAUUUUAUCUUCUUUUUUAAUAUGUCAACUUUACUUCUAUUAUAACAUUUUUUAGUGCUUACCCUAGAAUUAGCAGUAUACAUGUCCAAUCAAAGCCCACUCACAAAUAAUAUAUUAAGCUUCAUGUGUAAUUAAGGUAUAUUAUCAGGGAGUAAUCCCAAUUCCUCUCUCCCAUUCCUUGUAACAUUGUUGUCAUUCACUUUAUUUAUUUAUCAUUUAUUUAUAUGACAUAAUCAUGUAGUAUAUUACUGAUAUUAAUAUUUCAACAGUCAUUUAGAUCAACAAAAUAUUAGAAAAAUAAAAUAUUCUGUUUUAUCUUUCUUUAUUCCUUCUCUGAUUCUCUUUCUUUAAUCAAUCUGAGUUUAUGAUCUAUAUUGUUUUCUUUCCUCUGAAGAUUUUCCAACCAUUUUUUGCACAGCAAGAAAUUUGAGAAGUUAAAUUGGCAGUUAAUUAUCUGUUUUUUAAAGUUUGUGUGACAAGGUCUAUUUCUUGUUCACAUUGAAAAAUAAUGUUGCUGUAUGUAGAAUUCUAAGUUGGUAGAGUUGUGCUCAAUUCUCUUAUUUGCAAUGCUUGUAAAGAAAAGUGUAAUAUAAUUCUUUCCCUUGUUCUUCUAUAUCUAAGUUUUUUUUCCUCUAUUUGAUUUAACAUUUUUUAUUUUCUCUAUUAUUAUUUAUUUAUUUAUUUUGUAAUUUAAACCUGCUAUACUAUACACAGGUGAAGAUUUUUUAGUAAUUGCCCUGUUUGGUUGUGCUCUGAGUUCCAGCCAUGGUUUGGUUUGGCAUUAAUUUUGCAAAAAUCUCACCCAUUAUUACUUAAAAUAUUUCCUCUGCUUAUUUCUCUUUCCCUUUCUUUUUUUUUAGCUUUUAUUUUUGGUAUUUCCAUUAUGAAGAUGAUACCUUUUGCAAUUGUUUUACUGUCUUUGAAUAUUCUGUUCUAUAUUUUAAAAUUUGUUUUUAUUUUUGUGUUUCAACUUUAGUCAUGUCUACUAAUAUUUCAAGGACACCAAUUCAGUGGUGGUCAGUCUACUGAUGAGUAUAUCAAACACAUUCUUCAUCUCUGUUACAGGUUAUUUUUGUUUGUUUUUGUAGCAUCUCCUUGUGACUCUUUUGUGGAACUCCUACCUCUCUUGUUCUUGCAGGCUGUCUACAUUUUCCAUAGAGCAUUAAAUAUUAAAAUUAGUCCAUUUAUAUCCCCAAUCUGAUGACUUCAAAAUCCCUGUUGUACCUGAGUCUGGUUCUAUUGCUUUAUUUUUCUCUUCAAGCUAUGAAUUUUCUUGUGUUUUAGCAUGUUUUAUAACUUUUUGUUGAAAGCUGAGCAUGAUGUAUCUGGUAAUGAGAACUAAGUUAAAUAGCCCUCUGGUGUGGGUUUUGUGUUACUCUGGCUAGGACUUAGGCUGUGUUUUAUUUCUGCUGUAGCAGUAGGUGUCAGAGGCCUUAAUUUCUUCUUACAUACUUUUUUUCUUCUUUAUUGUCAUUAGGUUUCCCUAAAAACUUAUUUUUAUAAAUAAAUUUUGCUUUUUGCAGCUCUUUCAGCUGUAUCAGCAGCUGAAAUGCUGCUAUGAUACUGGAGUUGUGUUCAUGUGGUGAUAUGGUGGUAUGGGAGAGAAGCAUUCUGUAAUACUAUGAUAAAUCUUAGUCUUUAGUAGCCCUGUAUUACUGGUCCUAAUCUUCACAAAUAUUUUUCAGUUAUUUUUCCCCACCUUAGUUGAGAAAGUAAGGCUAGAGGGGUUGGAAUUGGGUAAGGCUUCUCCAAUGUCUUUGACCUUGUUCAGUGGGCCUUUGCCACAAAGAGUGCUGAGGGUUUAUUCAAAAAUGACUACUUUUCCCAAGAGUAUUCUUGGCCCUUUUCAUUGUGAAAACAGGUGGGGUUACUGGAGGAAAAGCCCAUGAAAGAUUGGAGGAAAAAACCUAAGACAGAGUUCCAGAAAAUUCUCACUUUCACACUAGUCCAUACUCUGCCUCCAGCACUGAGUCUCAGUUACCAUUUAAGUGUUCCUACCAGUUUAUAGCUCUAAAGGAUUUUAAUCCAGAUAAGCUGAUCUCAGAGGUGGGUCUCUGUAUUCUCUGGGAUCUCCAUCUUAGUGGUGUUAGUUUGCCCUAUGACCUAAAUAUUCUGAUAGCUCUCAGAAGAGUUACUGAGUUUCAGUUUGUUCAGUUUUUUCUUGGUUUAAGGACAAAUGUGACAACUUCAAAGUUCCUUAGAUGUCGACUAAAAUUGGAAGUCAUAACAUCCAUUAUUUUUUUCCUCCCCCUCUGUUUGAUUAAUUCAUGACUCAGCUGUGGUUGAAAUUCUACUCUUGGUCUUUGAAUUUCAAAAUUACAGUCAAACAUAGUAUCAUUAAAAUAACAGGUACAAUUUGAGAGAUUAUGCCUAUGACUGACUAAAUACUCAUACGCAGUCACAGGAAUGCACGUACUGCUAAUCCGAACUCUUUCUUACCAAAAAAUCAGCAGCUCAAAACGAGAAGAAAAAAAAAUGAAUUUUGAAAUUGCUAGACAGCUAACCUAAAGCCUAGACCUCUGUUUAUCAAUGUAUACUCUUGUAAGCCAUUCAGGGCUUAUAAUGAAAACAAUCUUGAGAAAUUUUAAUGUGAAUCCCUCUGACUUUUCUACCUUGACCAAGGAUAAAUGUCCAUAAUUAUCUCUUGGAUCCUAAGGCUUUUCAUUUACUCUUUGUUGACUACAUCACCAUCUUCUGUAACUGCAUUUUGAUUUGCAUUUAUUUGCAAUGUUUGUGCUAUCUGUGGACCAUUUAUGAGCAGAAGCUGAAUAAUUUUUUAUUGUUCUUAUUCUAAUGCAUCUCAUAUAUCAGAAAAAUAAGUAUGCCUUAUUAAUGUCUGUAAACGUAAUGCAUUUCUAGAGAGCACUGCUUUUAUGGCUUUGAGUUACUUUGAUUUAGAGGGUUUAAAAGGAAUUGCAUAUGAUGUAACAUAUUUGAAAGUGUCUAUGUAGGUAGAAAAGUUUCUGAAUUAAUUCACCUUAAAUGUUAAAAAUAUUCUAGCUAAAGAGAAUGAACUUUUUCCCAAAUAAACAGAAAAAAAUAUGGAUAUAUCUUUUGCCAAAGGGUUAGAAAAAUUAGAAUCAUUUAAUUACAAGUCCAUGCAUGUAUAGCACAUGAUAUAUAAUUUCUUAAGUAUAGAUUAAUGCUGUAAAUAAACUUCCAUUAUAUAAAUGAAUAAAUUUCCUUAACACCCCGUUAUUGUACAAUUCAUUUUGGCAUAAGAUGAUACUAGAGAGUAUUUUCAAAUGAAGCUCCAUAUUUCUAAAAUAUUAAUAAAAAUAAAAUCUCAAAAUGUUGCUUGUUGAUGAAAUUUCAAAUAUUUGGAAAGUUUGUUAAGUUACCUUGUUAAGUUACCUUGUUCUACCUAGUUGUUAAGCUAACUAUGUUCUUUGAUUAUGGAUGUAUAAAAUUCUUUAACAUGAUUUUUAAAAAUUCAUUUCCAUUUAUAUUGAAAAAUAUAGUAAAUUCGUAUGUAGAAGAAAUACAUCAAACAAUUUUCCCAUUAAUUUUAUCUUAUUCAGGUUGAACCCAUUGUAUUUUUGCAUAUUAAUUGACUGAAUAUAUUUGUAACUUACAGCUUUUAUUUUUACUGCUAAUAAUAAAAAUAAUAUGUUAGAGGCUUUGUAUGUAUUAAAUCACUGAAACUCUCUGCAACUUUAGGAAAUAGUUUAUAUUAAACCCAUUUUAUAGAUGACAAAAUUGAGUUAGACAAGUUAAGUAACUGCUCAGAGCUUUAUAUACACUAAAUAUCAGAAUUAGGCUUUAUCUCAGAACUCUUUGACUCCAAGAUACAGGAAAUUAAGAACUAUUAUACUUUCUCUAUUUCUAAAUGUAAUACAAUUCACACAUUUUAAAUAUCUUAAGUGUCAAUAUCUGCCGUACAUUAAAACAAGCUACAUCAGAGAAAGUUUAUUGUCUUUUUAAGUAUUAUUUGGAAAAAAAUCUUAACUAUGUACAUAUAUAUUUAAAACUACCUAGAAUAUAUUUUCAACAAUAGAAAAUCAAAUGAAGUAAUAAAUGCUGUGGUCCGAAUAUCUGUGUCCUCUUCAGAUUUUUAUGUUGCAAUCUUAACCUUAAGUUAAUGGCAUUAAGAGGUAAGUCCUGUGGGAGGUGAUACACUGAUGGGGACAUCCCAUUAAGUAACCAGUGGGCUAAGGCAGCUCAUUUGCCAUUUCUACAGUGUGAGAAUGCAGCAACAAGGUGCCAGCUAUGAAGCAAAGAGCCCUUACCAGACAAUGAAUCUACUGACAACUUGAUCUUGGACUCUUCAGCUUCCCAAACUGGUUACCAACUAUAUCACAUAAUGGUCCUAAGGAUUAAAUGAAAAAAAAUGCAGUAAGAUAAAGCUGAUUUAUCAAGGUUGGGGAAAUGCAAUAAAGAAAGAGGUUAAUAAUUCACAGAGCCAGCUGAAUAGAAUACCAGAGUUUUAUUUCUACACAAAUCAGUCUCCCAGCCAUGGUCCAGGCUUGAGGGUGGAGCCCUCACGAGAGACCUCACCAUUUUCUACCUAGUAUUUCCCUGUCUCCUGUCUAUAUCGCAGAGCAUUAAAUUGAAGCCAAGGGACUGAAAUAAGAAACUCCAGAGAACAACAAGAGGAACUGAAAUUGCAUGGUCAUUAGAAGGCAUCUUAAGAAUAACUGUGUAGCAGAGAAUGAGGACUCAUAUCAAAGUUUGAUUCUUUUAGUAUUGGAUUUUAUGUUCUGAAGGUUAGGACUGAACGUCUCCUGGAGCCAUUAUGCAGCCUACCACACUUGCUAUAUCUUCCAGAAUUUUGGAGGAAGUAAUUCAUUCUGUCAGCUUCCGGCUGGAAAAUGUUAUCAUGUGUCACCUCAAUAUGUGUCAUCUCUGAUACUUCUACAAUUGAAGAGAUACUCUUCCUAUCUAAGGCAAUUCUUGGACCACGUGAUAUGUCUUGGUGGCUCCUCCAGAGAAAAACUCUAUUAUACUAUGUGCAUAAUGUAUAUAUGGUAAAAUAUCUAUGUAUAUAUGGAUAUAUUUUUAAGCAGAAAUAUUUUCUUUUAUUACAAACACAUAUGUGUGACUAGUAUUUAAAAAAUGGCAAAUAGGGAUGGCUUACAUAAAUUCAAUCAUUUAAGCAGAGUGUGUGUGUGUGUUGAAGUAAUUAAGCAGUGAGCCCAUCCUAGACCAGGUACCUGCAGAAAAAUAUCUUAUACUAUGUAUAUAAAAUAGAAAGAUGUGCUACUUGUUACACAAUUGGGGUAUACGUCCACCAGUUUUGCUCUGCUGCAGUUUUAGGGUAUGCUCAGCAGGUAGGGUCACUGGUGGCUAAAAUUCCAUUUUUAAGAUCUUUAAAUAGAGGCAUUACUUUGAUUUUUUUUUACAGAUAUUUAUCAUGUGAUGGUAAGUGCAUUUAAGGUUACAAUAUACAUUCUCAUAUAUUUAAGACUUCAUUUGCUUUAGAUUUUUUUAUCUGGCAAUAAUAGAAAACAAUUUUUGGCUGUGAUAAAAGUGGCCUGUUUUCUCUGAUCUCUAUGCAUCUCAAGGCCACUGCUGAACUCCUCAGCUCAUAUGACAGUUUCAGCUCAUGACAGACAGAUGUUACUCCUCUUCUUUCCUGUCCUGAUACAGUAUUUAAAUGAGUGGUUUUAAGAUUCUUCUUUCCUGCCCUGAUAUAGUAUUUAAAUGAGUGGUUUUAAGAUUCAUACUAACUGCCUGUAUAUGUCAUGACUGUUUUGUUAUUGCAUGCUUGCUUAUUUGUGUAUCAUCUAUCUAUCUAUCUAUCUAUCUAUCUAUCUAUCAUCUAUCAUCUAUCUAUCUAUCAUCUAUCUAUCUAUCUACAUUACUUCUCAGCUGAUUUAAUUUUCUCAAUGCCAACAUUAACAGUGAAUCCUCUGAAAGCCUACCAGAAGAAACUGAGUCAUAGGAAUACAGAUGAUCCUUGACUUACAAUGAUUUAACAUGAUUUCUCAAACUAUGAUAGAUUUAUUGGGGGUAUUAAAUGCAUUUCAACUUACAAUAUUUUUAACUUGGGGUGGACUUAUCAGAUCCUAACCCCACUGUAAGUCAAGGAGCAUCUGUACAACUUUCCUUGUAGGCAGUUUAAUUAUGAAUGUCAUAAACUAUUAUGACAUUUUUUAUACCGUUGGAUCCAUUUGGGGAAACUUCUAUUGGGAUUCAAUUCCACUGAAAUUCUAUUCCAUUGGCUAAAUUGGGGGAGAUAUUUGUUAAUUUUUUAUAUAUUUAGGGGCUUUUGUUUGGCAAAAACUUAUCUCUAAGAGAAGUUCACAUUCCAUCUGCUCUGCCUUUUUUUUUUUUUUUUUUCUUUUGAGACAGAGUCUCACUCUGUUGCCCAGGCUGGAGUGCAGUGAACUCUGCCUUCAGGAAUAAAAAAAGUGUAUCAAUUUGGACAGUUAAUUCAAGAACAUUGAGUUAACCUUCCUAGAUGAUGGAUUUAUCAAAGAAUUUAAAAACACGUUUGCAUUAAGGCAAACACACUUAUUUAACUUUUCUCUGGAACUGGCUGAGAUGUAAACUUUGGUGUGUUUUUAUCUCUGUAAUAGGUAAUAAUUGCAACACAGAUGCCAAGAAAGGGUCUUGAGUAUAAAGAAAUUGCUUUACUGACAUGCAGAUUGAUGAUCAAAUACUAUUUUUGUUCCAUUUCCUCAUUAUUCUUUCAUUUUAUCUCAGCAAAUAGUUAUAGCUAGAUUAAUUCAAUAAUUCAGUAAUUGCCAGACUGAAAAUAACAUUAGAAAUACAAUCUCUUGCUGUCAACUUCAAAGAAAUUCUACUCCUGUAAUAAUUAGGAAAAAAGUGUAAUUCAAAGAUGUUCUGUUUUUUUGAGAAAUACUUUACUUCAUUAAAUUGGAAGUAAGUAGGACAGAAAAAAAUAGUUGAUGUCAUUCUCUCAACAGGGUGCAUAACAAAAUAUAAAAAUUAGUUAUUAAGUCCAGUCAAAUCAAAUAUCAGGCUGACAGAAUUAGAUUUUCCAUUUGGGGUACAAGCUAAAUGCAGGUAAUUAAUAGUAAAGGACUAAUUCCAAGUUCUUUAAACCCCACAUGAAAUAUGAAGCAUAUUUCAAAAAUAAGAUUUCUCUGUGAAAGAUACAAACUGUCUAUAAAGCACUUACCAGGAAUGUUAUCUAAAUUCAAAUAAUUUUUGAAUAAUAUCCAUUGUAACUUUGUAGAUAUUUUUAUCAUUUCAUGAAGAAUGUUAUAACAUAGGCUUUGAGAAAUUAAACAUUUCUCUAAAAUGCUGGAUAUAUUUUCUCAUAUUAUCAUUUGAUAUUAUAUUAAACAGGAUAAAAUGAUAACACAAAUAUUACUUUUAGUGCUCACUUUUUUUACCUUUUAAUGUCUGUAAAACUAAGGUGCUUUUAUAAUUUGGUAAUAUGCCACAAUUUCAUUGGGUGCGUUGUAAAUAUUUGGUCUACAGGCUGCAAAAAAGUGUAAUUGUCUUUUGGAAUAAAUGGCAUUUUGAGGUUCAUUAAAAGUGGUGUGGAUGAUGAAAAGUAAUUGUAAGAGUAAGAAAAUUAUUUUUCUUAGAUCAUUAAAAACUCCAUAUUUUAAAGCUUAAUUCUUAUAUAUUAAAACAUUUUAAAAAUAUAAUUGAAAUAUAACCAAUGUUAUGAAAUUCUGUUUCGUGUUCUGUAGAGCAGCUAUUUAUUAUAAUGUAGACACAAAUCAGUCAUAAUAUAUUUGUAAGCAGAAAAGUAGUUAAUAGGAUUAUGUAAAUUGGUAUAUUUUGAACCUUGCUGUACAGUACUUGGCCAAAAGCUUCAUAAAAAACUACUGUGCCUGAAAAUGGCAUCAGAUUUAUUAACACAAAAUAUGAUUUAAGUGAUUUUCUAACAACAUUUUAAGGUAGCCUCUAUGAUCCUCAAAAUAGUUGACAUAAUAAUAAUAUUCCUUUAUAAUAUAAUUCAUAUUUAUUUAAAGAAAUAUAUGAAUUUAUAAGUGGCAUGUUACAAACAUAUAUGAAAUGAAAAUAAGGUAAUAAUGUUUUUAUCAAUUACUUUUGAUAGCAUCCUUAAUGGACACAUAUUUCUAUCUCCUUAGUGUGUAAAUACAAAUAUUUUAUAUAUGUCUUGAGGGAAGUUUUAGAAAAACAGAUGUGUAGGACAUUUUGGUAUUGAAAGUGAAUUAUCAUUUUGAAAAAGCUAUCUGGAAUGAAUUCAUUCAUAAAACAAACACAAAUGUCAUAUUAAAAUUUUAAUGGUGCUGGGCAUGGUAGCUCAUGCACCAAUUUGGAAGGCCAAGGCAAGAGGAUUGCUUGAGCCUAGGAGUUCAAGACCAGCCUGGGCAACAGAGUGAGAGACCUCAUCUCUACAAAACAUUAAAAAAAUUAGCCAGUGUGGUGUCAUCCAUGUGUAGUCCCCGCUACUCAGGAGGUUACAGUGGUGUAAUUUCUUGAGCUCGGGAGAUCAAGGCUGCAGUGAGCCAUGAUGGUGCCACUGCACUCCAGUCUGGGCAACAGGGCAAGACCCCAUCUCAAAAAAAAAAAAAAGUUUUGAUGGGAGUUUAUCUGUAAAAACAAAAAUUCUAAAAAUUUCUAUUUACAUUAUAUUUAAUACAUUUUAGAUUAUAAUAAAUUUUUUAAAGUGUCAAAUGAACAAAAUGAUGAAUCAGGUGCUAAAAUUUUUUUGCCAUAGGUAUCUGACAAUACUAGCAAGAUAAAUCUUCCUUCACUUCAGAUUGAACUUUCGUAGUCUGAUUACAAAAUGUUUAUUUUGCCAAAAUAUCUGAAGGCCUGAUGCCUCUAUUAUUCAUUCUAAUGCUAACUGACUUUCUUUUAAAGGAUUUAGCAUACUAUUAUUUUUACUGAUUUUUAUCUUUUUCACCACUUUAAUGACCAGGUGUCCAAUGGUCAAUGAUUUUGUACAUUUUGGUAUUUAUCUGAUAUUGUCAAAUGUUUGAUUUGAUUUGCUUCAUCUGAUUUCUUUUAAAUGCAAUUACUUAACUUUGUGGAUCUCUGUAUCUUCUAACACAUUCAUUAUUAUGUGUCCCAGAUAAGUUAUUCAACUGAUUUAAUUUGUCACAACUUCUUAGAGGUAGAAAUAAUACAAUCUUGCAAUAAUUAUAUAUAAAUAAGAGAUAUUUACAUUGGCAUUGAUACAUAUAUGCAUAUUAGUUUUCUAGCCAUAAUCAAUUAGCACAGAUUUGCUAGCUUAAAUAACAGAAAUUCAUGUUCUCACAAUUCUGGGGGCCAUAAGUGAAGGGUGUCAGGAGGUUUGGUUUCUUCAGACUUCCCACCAUGGUUUGCAGAUGCCACCCUCUUUCUGCAUCUGCACAUGGUCGUCCCUCUGUGCAUGAGCACCCCUGACCUCUCCUCCUCUUCUUACAAGGCCAUCGUCAUACUAGAUUGGGGCCUCACUUUAAGGACUUCAUUUUAACUUAAUAAUUUCUUUAAAUAGUUUAUGUUCAAAUAAGUCUGCCUUCUGAGCUACUGAAGGUUAGAGUUUCCACAUAUGAAUUUUAGGGAGAUACAAUUAAUCUUAGAAUAUAGAGAAAAAUUCAAACCUGAUAAACCAAAACCCAGUGUAUGAAACUCAAAGUUUCAACAGCAUUUCAAAUAAAUAAUUAAACUCACCUUCUUGCAGCAUUUUUAAUUUUCCUUAUGACUUCUCUAAAAUUAUUUUUUUCUGGUUUCUAUUCUGCUACACUAGUCAUUCCUUCCAAUUGCCUGUUCUUGCUCUUACACUUUUACUCACUCUCUAAAUAUUGUGAGACCCAGGAAUCAGUGAUGAGUGCUAGAGCCUCUUCUCCCUGCACUUGCUACAUGAGUACUUUAUGGCCAUGAAGGCCACCUUUGAGACAUAUGCCCUAAAUAGGCCUAUUAAUUACAUUCUUUUCUCCCAAACAAUCCUUUGUAUAAUUUUCUCUAUCUUACAUAAUGAUAUCAAUUGUUCAAAGAAAGAUAUAAAGUCUUUUUUAUUCCCUUCUUUACCUUAACUUUCACAUCUAAUUCAUUAGCAAGUCCGGUCAGCAAUAAUUCCAAAAUCCAUCCAAAUAUAGUCCACAUCACUCUCUAUAAUUUUCACCAUAGAUGAGAAAAUAUAAUUUUCUCCAAAUAGGUUCAAAUUUCCUAAGAUUCUUAAUUCCACAUUAUUCAUUAUUUCAUCAAAUCUGCAAAAAGAAGUCAGAAUAAUCUUUUAUACUAUUAUAUACUAUAUAAUUUUGUAUUAGCCAAUUAUAGCUGAAGAAAUAAACACCUGCCUAUUAGCAAUUAACAGACACUGCUAGUAAAAAAUCAGUAAGGACAUGGUUGAACUAAAUAGCACUAUCAAUUAACUAAAUCUAAUUGACCUUUAUGUAAUACCUAAUUUAAUGACAGUGGUAUAUGCAUUCUUCUCUAGCUCACAUGAAAUACUCACCAAGAUAGACCACAUCUUGGGCCACAAAAUGUACUUUAACAAAUUUAAAAUAAUAAUGAUCAUACAAAGUAUGAUGACAUAGCAUAAUAUAAUUAAACCAAAAAUUCAAAGCAGAAAGACACCUGAAAAAUUCCAGAAUACUUGGUGAUUAAAUGACACACUUUUAAAUAAUACAUAAGUUAAGGACAAGGCCACAAAACAAAUUUAAAUCUAGUUUAAAUUAAAGAAAUUGAAAAUGAAACUUAAUUUGUAGGAUGCAGCGGUGCUUUGAGGAAAAUUUAUAAUAUAAAAUGCAUAUAUUAGAAAAGAAGAAAGAUCUGCAAUCUACAACCUAAUCUUCUAUUUUAUGAUACUAGUGAAAGAAUAGCAAAUUAAAUGAAAGUAAGCAAAGCAAAAUUAAAGUUAGAAUAGGAGUCAAUAAAAUUGAAAACAGAAAAUCAAUAGAGAAAAUUUUAAAACAUAAAAAUAAAUUCUAUUAAAAGAUUAAUCAAGUUGAUAAAACUAUAUCUAGGAUAACAAAGAAAAGAAAGAAAACACAAAUUUCAAAUAUCAGAAAUGAAAGGGGGGCCAUCCCUACAGAUCUCAGACAUUAACAAGAUAAUAAAGAAGUAUUAUAAACAACUGUAAGGCCACUUGUUUAAUAACCUAGGAAAAUAUGACAAAUUCCUUGAAAAACAUAAUGUAUCAAAAUUCACAUAAGAACAAAUAGAUAAUAUGAAUAAAGCCUAUGUAUAUUAAAUAAAUUGAAUUGAUAAUUAAUAACCUUCCAAAACAGAAAGAACUAGGCCCAAAUGGGUUCAAUGGUGAAUUCUCACAAACUUAUAAGAAAAAGGCCAACUUUCUUCAAUCUCUUCCAGAAGAGAGAAGCAUAGGGAAUACUUUCUAAAUCAUUCAUUAAGGUUAACGUUAUUCUAACACCCAAACCAGGCAAAGAUAUUUAUUUAACAAAAGGAAAACUAUAAACCAAUGUCUAUCAUGAAUAUUGCUAAAAGUUUGAUAAAAUAUUAACAAAUCACAUUAAAAUGUAUAAAAUAAUUAUACACCACUUCUAGUUUGAGAGUUUUUAUUAUGAAUAGGUGUCUGGUUUAUCAGAGGCUUUGACUAAAUAUAUUUACAUGAUUUUCCUUCUUUACACUGUUAAUGUAACUUUUGAUUUUUGAAUGUUGAAUCAGUCUUGUAUGAUACACUGGUGCCUAUCAGAGGGUGGAGGGGAAGAGAAAGGAGAGGAUCAGGAAAACAUAACUAAUUGAUAGUAGGCUUAGUACCUGGAUGAUGAAAUAAUCAGUACAACAGACCCCAUGACACAUGCUUACCUAUGUAACAAACCUGCACAUGUACCCCUGAACUUAAAAGUUAAAUAAAAGAAACCUCUCAACUGUUUCCCAAACUUCUUGUACCAUUUUAUAUUUACACCAGCAAUGCAUGAGAGUAUUAAUUGUUUCGCAUCCUUGUCAACACCUGGUAUUAUUAAUCUUUUAAAUUUUAGUGAUCCUACUAGAUGUGUAGUGGUACAUAAUUGCCAUUUUAAUUUGUAGUUCCCUGAUAUCUAAUGAGGAUAAGCAUCUCUGUGUGUAUCUAUUGGCUAUUUUUAGAUCAUUUUUGUGAUAUUUAUUUUUAAAUCUUUUGCCUAGUCAUUUAAUUUAGCUUCUUGUCUUAUUAAUAAAUUAUGAGUUCAUGAAAAAUACUUUAAUUAUAAUCUUCUCAAGCCAUAGAAAAAUAUACAGAUGGCAAAUAAGCAGAUGAAAAGAUUUUCCACAUCAUAUGGCAAUAGCCAAUUGAAAAUUAAAAUGAUAAUGAAAUACCACUAGAUGCCUUUAGAAUAGUGAAAUUUCAAAACACAGACAACAUCAAAUGCUGGUGAGAAAGUGGAGCAACAGGGACUCUCAUUUAUUGCUGGGGGAGUACAAAACGGUAGAAUGAUUUGGCAUAGAGUUUGGCAGGUUUUUUCAAAGCUGCCAUAUGAUACAGCAACAAUACCCAAUUGGUAUUUAGUCAAAUGAAUUAAAAAUUUAUGUCCACUCAAAAACCUAGAAACAAAUGUUGACAGUAGCUUUAUUCGUAACUGCUAAAAUUCAGUAACAACCAAGAUGUUCUUCAAUAGAUUAAUAGAUUAACUGUGGUGCUUUCAUACAAUAGCAUAUUAUUCAGUGAUAAAAACAAUAUGAGCUAUUGACAUGAAAAAACACAGAAGAAGCUUAAAUGCAUCUUACUAAGUGCAACAAGCUAAACUGAAAAGACAGACGAGUGAUUGGCCAGGAGUUCCCUCUCAGAAAGGAGUGAAGUAAGAAUGAAUAGGAGAAGCACAAGGAAAUUCUAGGGCAGUGACACUAUUUUGUAAGAUAUUGUAAUGGCAGAUGUAAGCCAUACGAUUUGCAAAAAAAUAUGAAAUGUACAACACAAAGAGUAAUUACUAAUGUAAACCAUGGACUACAGUUAAGCAAUGUAUCAAUAUAGGUGUGCCAAUUGUCAUAAUUGUGCCACACUAAUACAAUACAUUAAUAAUAGGGGAAACUGAAGAACAAGAAGUUCUAAUUAAUUUUUGUAAACCUAAAACUGAUCUGAAAUAUAAAAUUUGUUAAUUUAGAUUAAAAACAAAAUACAUCCAAAAGAAGUCUACAUAAUUAGAAAUAAAAAAUAUCAAUUCCAUCAGACAAUUGCCAAUGGUUAAAUAAAGCUGGUUGAUGAUUACAACAUUUUAUCUAAUGGGAAAAAAAAAAGGAAGAAAGGAGACAACUUGAAUAAGCAGGGUGUUGCUCAAGACUUAGUUCCAGCACAUAAAAAAGGUUAAAUAAAGUUAUGUUUAUAUUUCCUCAAAGUUUGACUUCUCACCAUUAAUGACUAGAUGAUGAAUGAAAAUUAAACAUUGAAAUAUGAUUUUCAAGAUUACCUUAGAUUUAUAUUUGAUUUGCAAUUUUUUGAAUAGUUAUCUCCUAGUCUUCCCACUAGCAUCUGACUUUUUCUGUUUCUAAUCAGUUUUUUUCACUGCUUCAACCUUGUAUCAAAAAAACACUUUCCUUGUUUUGAUUUUGGAACUCUUUAAAAAUUACUGAACUUGUAUUUAUUAUUUUUUUGAGAAUGCAUCCAACAUGCCUGCAUAUUCAUCCCCUUCCUAAAUCUAAGUCCCUUUGCAAUAGCUCCAGCCAUAAAGAAAUGGUGCUUCUUUCCCUCCUACUGAAUUUGGUCUGAGUAUUUUUGAGAAAUAAAAUACAACGGAAGUGGUGGUAUGCUAUUUAUGAGCCUUGGCUUUUAAAGGUUUUGAAUCCUUCUACUCCCUCUUUUAAAACACUGACAACAAAAUUGAUAGACCGCUAGUAA
rnacentral:lncRNA from 1 species